AUUGAACGCUGGCGGCAGGCUUAACACAUGCAAGUCGAGCGAGCGGCGGACGGGUGAGUAAUGUCUGGGAAACUGCCGGAUGGAGGGGGAUAACUACUGGAAACGGUGGCUAAUACCGCAUACAAUCGGAUGGGCCCAGAUGGGAUUAGCUAGUGGGGGGGGUAAUGGCUCACCAAGGCGACGAUCCUGAGCUGGUCUGAGAGGAUGACCAGCCAAACUGGAACUGAGACAAGGUCCAGACUCCUACGGGAGGCAGCAGGGGGGAAUAUUGCACAAUGGGCGCAAGCCUGAUGCAGCCAUGCCGCGUGUGUGAAGAAGGCCUUCGGGUUGUAAAGCACUUUCAACGAGGAGGCGUUACUCGCAGAAGAAGCACCGGCUAACUCCGUGCCAGCAGCCGCGGUAAUAC
rnacentral:rRNA from 1 species